AACUCAUACAUGAUCUUGAGGUCUGAACUUGAGAUAUUUGAAAUGGAAACCUGCCUCUUGAAUGGGUGGGAUGUGUUUAAGGAUCAAAUUCCUAUUUAGGCAUUGUUUAGAUAAACAACUUAAUUAAGUGCUUAUAGCAUAAACGCUUAUCAUAUAAGCUGUUUUUAUAACAAAAGAUAAAGUAAAGACAAACUGUUUUCAUAUAAUAUAAGCUAAUUUAUAAAAAGUUAUCCUAAAGAGCUUAUGGAAAUAAGCUGAAAACAACUUAUCGACAUGUCAUAGGUUGUUUACAUAAGCUCUCCCAAACAAUCUCACAAAUGUUUAUGCCAGUAGAUAAACUCAAAUAAGUCAAUCCUUAGUAUUGGGCCUUACUAAGUAAGUGGAUUGUUACCUUUUGUAUUUUACGAUAGCAAUUUAUGUAGAAUACUUGGUGUUUAGGUACCUUUCUUUUCUUUUUUCAGAGUUCGAAGAUUGAAUCUGCGAGGGACAGCCCCGUCACACCUCCUCUAACCAAAGAGCGCCUGCCCCGUCAUUUGCACCACCCAAUGACAAUGGGCUACUCCUCAUCAGAUUCACUGGAUCACCACCAUAUGCAACCUCAACCUUGCUAUGAAACAAGUGGUCUGCCAUCAAAAUCUAAUCUUUCCAACAUUGGUGUGCCAAAGACCGAAAGAUCAUCCAUUGAUGCUUCUGUAAGGACGAGUUCAUCAGAAGAGGAAGAUCACUCAGGUGAGCUCUCAAUCAGCAAUGCCAGUGACAUGGAAACUGAAUGGGUUGAACAGGACGAACCGGGAGUAUACAUCACUAUCAGAGCACUACCAGGUGGAACCAGAGAACUUAGGCGUGUCCGUUUCAGGUUUGUCGAAAUUGUUUGCAUGGAAAAUAAAUUACUUUUUAAAGAAACAUCAGUUUCAUUCAAAAUUUCAUUUGUAUAUCCUUUUACGCAGCCGAGAGAAGUUUGGAGAAAUGCAUGCGAGAUUGUGGUGGGAAGAGAACCGUGCGAGGAUACAAGAGCAAUAUUUGUGACUAUAGUAAUGAGCCUUUACACACAUAACUGCUUCAGAAGACUAACAAGAGAGGACAAUGUGAAAGCUUUACAUUACUGUGAAUUUUAGAUUCAGUUUCUUUCUUUCUUUUCAGUGGAUAAUAUUCAAGUGACUACAACUUUCAAGUUUGGAGUUCAGUGUAGCUGUGGAGAAAUGAAGAUAUUGGGAAAUAUUAAACUAUGAUAGUGCAAUUUAAGUUAUAGUUAAACUUGUUAGUGUCAAUGUCUUGAUGUAGUUGUCAAAUAUUUUCCAUUUUGUAUGAAUUUUUAACUAUUCCAUGUGAGAUAACAUGUUUGGUUCUUGACAAUGUUUACACUGAAAACUUAGUGCAGCAGAUUGAAAACGAUCUUCAUUAUAUUUCAAAUCUGGAGAAAAUAAUUAAUGAAUUUUUGUGAUGAGUUAAUGGCUAUAAAUACAACAGAAUGGGGAUAUUUUUUUGUUAAUCUGGAGUGGGGCUGUGAAUAUUUGACGAGUAACCGAAUCGUUGUUGUUGGCCUCAUUUUCAAGGUGUCACAUACCUUUGGUUUUAAAUGUUGCUCGUAAGAGGACAAUAGUAAAGCAAGACAACAACAUGGAAUGAGAUAAUGAUGAGAAACGGUGACACCAAUGACCAAAUCAAAAACCAUAUACUAGCUAUGAAGGAGGAGUCGUGACAACAGAAGAGUUAGUAUAUGUUUGGAAUGACAAUGCUUUUUGCAAAACUGUGGCAGGAGGAAACCACGUCACUGUGAAAGCUUGGUUUCUUGGCUUCUCUUUUUCAACGAGAUGCCUAUUGGCACUUCUGCCGCCAAACCAAACAUGACAUUAGUCAACGAGACGAAAUGUACUAGGAGUAAGUGUGGUAGAAUCAAGAGGUAUAUUUUGAAAAAAUAAUUAAUCCCUCUCAAACAUAAAACUUUCAUGUCUAACUAAAAUAGCCAUGAAUUACACUAAGAUUUAGAGUUUACCUUUUUAAGCGUGUUUUAGCCAAAAUCACCUAUGCACAAAAGAGUGACGUCACUACUUCUCCAUGGUCAUGGAUGGUGCAAUUACCAAAGAUGCUCUUGAAGGAGAGAGCUUUGUGAUUCUCUGGGUGCUAGUCUU
rnacentral:lncRNA from 1 species